UACGAAGGGUGCAAACGUUGUUCGGAAUUACUGGGCGUAAAGGGCGCGUAGGCGGCGCAUCAAGUCAGGCGUGAAAGCCCUGGGCUCAACCCGGGAAUUGCGCUUGAGACUGGUGUGCUCGAGUACGGGAGAGGAUAGUGGAAUUCCCAGUGUAGAGGUGAAAUUCGUAGAUAUUGGGAAGAACACCAGUGGCGAAGGCGGCUAUCUGGACCGUAACUGACGCUGAGGCGCGAAAGCGUGGGGAGCAAACAGG
rnacentral:rRNA from 1 species